rnacentral:rRNA from 1 species
GAUGAACGCUGGCGGCGUGCCUAAUACAUGCAAGUCGAGCGAACGGACGAGAAGCUUGCUUCUCUGAUGUUAGCGGCGGACGGGUGAGUAACACGUGGAUAACCUACCUAUAAGACUGGGAUAACUUCGGGAAACCGGAACUAAUACCGGAUAAUAUUUUGAACCGCAUGGUUCAAAAGUGAAAGACGGUCUUGCUGUCACUUAUAGAUGGAUCCGCGCUGCAUUAGCUAGUUGGUAGGGUAACGGCUUACCAAGGCAACGAUGCAUAGCCGACCUGAGAGGGUGAUCGGCCACACUGGAACUGAGACACGGUCCAGACUCCUACGGGAGGCAGCAGUAGGGAAUCUUCCGCAAUGGGCGAAAGCCUGACGGAGCAACGCCGCGUGAGUGAUGAAGGUCUUCGGAUCGUAAAACUCUGUUAUUAGGGAAGAACAUAUGUGUAAGUAACUGUGCACAUCUUGACGGUACCUAAUCAGAAAGCCACGGCUAACUACGUG